rnacentral:rRNA from 1 species
GAUGAACGCUGGCGGCGUGCCUAAUACAUGCAAGUCGAGCGAACAGACGAGGAGCUUGCUCCUCUGACGUUAGCGGCGGACGGGUGAGUAACACGUGGAUAACCUACCUAUAAGACUGGGAUAACUUCGGGAAACCGGAGCUAAUACCGGAUAAUAUAUUGAACCGCAUGGUUCAAUAGUGAAAGACGGUUUUGCUGUCACUUAUAGAUGGAUCCGCGCCGCAUUAGCUAGUUGGUAAGGUAACGGCUUACCAAGGCAACGAUGCGUAGCCGACCUGAGAGGGUGAUCGGCCACACUGGAACUGAGACACGGUCCAGACUCCUACGGGAGGCAGCAGUAGGGAAUCUUCCGCAAUGGGCGAAAGCAUGACGGAGCAACGCCGCGUGAGUGAUGAAGGUCUUCGGAUCGUAAAACUCUGUUAUUAGGGAAGAACAAAUGUGUAAGUAACUAUGCACGUCUUGACGGUACCUAAUCAGAAAGCCACGGCUAACUACGU